rfam:Schistosoma curassoni strain Dakar, Senegal genome assembly, scaffold: SCTD_contig0001083
AUCUAGCUAAAGAGUCCCAAACAGGACGAAACACGAAUCAAACUGGAU